rnacentral:rRNA from 1 species
AACGCGAAGAACCUUACCCAGGCUUGACAUGCAGAUGACGAUAUUAGAGAUAGUAUUUCCCUUCGGGGCAUUUGCACAGGUGCUGCAUGGCUGUCGUCAGCUCGUGCCGUGAGGUGUUUGGUUAAGUCCAGCAACGAGCGCAACCCUUAUCAUUAGUUGCCAACAUUUAAGGUGGGAACUCCAAUGAGACUGCCUGGGUUAACCAGGAGGAAGGUGAGGAUGACGUCAAGUCCGCAUGGCCCUUAUGUCUGGGGCUACACACGUGCUACAAUGGUCGGUACAGAAGGCAGCGAAACCGCAAGGCGGAGCAAAUCCCGAAAGCCGAUCUCAGUUCAGAUUGUAGUCUGCAACUCGACUACAUGAAGACGGAAUUGCUAGUAAUGGUGGGUCAGCAACACCACCGUGAAUACGUUCCCGGGUCUUGUACACACCG